rnacentral:lncRNA from 1 species
UGAGGAGAGGCAGGAGAAAAUACGGCGCGCUCGGCAUCGUCCUUCUGACCGGGGACUCCAGCAUCUCAGUCAUCGCGUCACCAAGCCCCACGGACUAUGGAAAGACUACAUUUCUCAACCUUCCUAGUAGAUGUGAUGUCACCAGUCGGAAUUGGGCAGAAGAAUGUAUCACUUCAGUCCAAGGCAAUUAAGUGGUCAAACCGUAAGAGACUGGCAGCUUUCAUACUGUUGGAUGCAUGUUUUGGGAUGCCUCCCUCUCAGAAUCUAGCCACCAUGUUCUGAGAAACCUAAGCCAUGUGAAGGGGCCACAUGUAGGUGCUUUGGUUUGCAGCUCCGACCCUCUAGCCAAUAGAUGGCAUCUCCUGCCAGCCAAAUGAGUGAGCCAUCAACAGUAACCUGCCCAGCUGAGUCUUCAGGUAACUCCAGUCCUGGUGUGAUCGCAGUCACAUAAGCCAUUCAAAGUAAGAAUCACCAGUUGAGUUCAGCCAACAGUCAUGGGCAAUAUUAGAAAUCACUGUACUGCCAGGUGCGGUGGCUCACGCCUGUAAUCCUAGCACUUUGGGAGGCUGAGGCGAGCAGAUUGCCUGAGCU